rnacentral:rRNA from 1 species
AACGAACGCUGGCGGCAUGCCUAACACAUGCAAGUCGAACGAGACCUUCGGGUCUAGUGGCGCACGGGUGCGUAACGCGUGGGAACCUGCCCUUAGGUUCGGAAUAACUCCCCGAAAGGGGUGCUAAUACCGGAUAAUGUCUUCGGACCACAGAUUUAUCGCCUUUGGAUGGGCCCGCGUUGGAUUAGCUAGUUGGUAGGGUAAAAGCCUACCAAGGCGACGAUCCAUAGCUGGUCUGAGAGGAUGAUCAGCCACACUGGGACUGAGACACGGCCCAGACUCCUACGGGAGGGAGCAGUGGGGAAUAUUGGAAAAUGGGCGAAAGCAUGAUCCAGCAAUGCCGCGUGAGUGAUGAAGGCCUUAGGGUUGUAAAGCUCUUUUACCCGGGAUGAUAAUGACAGUACCGGGAGAAUAAGCUCCGGCUAACUCCGUG